AGAAGAAUCAAAUGUUUGGAAAGGACCUCAAUCCACCUGCUGUCAGAAACUCUGCAUUAUCUGACAGCCUCCUGACUGAUCCAAGCUGCGUUGUUCAUGUGUCAGGUUGGUAAUCACUAUGAGUAAGAAAAAGGUUUCGGAAGAAGAACUGGAGGGCUGCUGGUGAUAGAGCUGUGGCUGGAACUACAGUCCCAGGAAGCUGCAGGGGAAAUUCGGCAGGAAAAGGUUUUCCUCAUUCCAGAAAGGAAUCUCAUUUUCCUGUGCACUGCCCCAAGGCGGAGCUCUGGAUGCACCCAAUUUUAUACUUGACAGCACAUUGCACAACUGCUUGGAUUGGGAAGGCUGAACUGCCAAAUGCAAGAGCUUCUGGUUUCAUCAUAUUGAAGAACUGAGAAGAGCACCAAUUUCAAAUGGAUGUCCUGUGCCCAGUACUGUGCCCAGAAGCAAAGUUUCCAAGGCUGACACAUUCAUUCUGCUGCCAAUCUGAUCAGUGCCUGGAGAGGGCUGGCACAGGAGACCCGAAGCAUCCUUCAGGCGCUGCUGGGAAUGUUCCACCAGGGGCAUGAGAUGGUUGAGAUCUGGCCACGGGUGCAAGGGACCUGCAUGGAGGGUCCCCCAGUCAUCUGGUGAAGGAUAGCUGCUGUGAGAGCUCAGACUGUAGUGGAGACCAAAGUAAAGAAUACACUUUCAUCAAAAGUGUUUCUCCAGGUUUGUUGUGACAAAUGCUUCUGUGACUUUUUAGUAUCACGAAUCUGUCUCUUACUUCCUUAUAUAUCCUAAUUCCUUCACUUUCUUUAAGAUAAACUGCAUCAC